UUUGAUCAGCAGUUAUGAGGGCAUUGGUGGUUUGGCCUGGGGCAAUCAAAAUAGUGUCCGUUUUGAAUGGUUUCACAUAGGUAGCAUCUACUUCCACAACUGUGAGCUUGUGCCCAGCAAUCUUGAAGAAGAGCUCCUCAUUGAGUGCAGCAUUGAUUAUGCGCAGUAAGUAGAACAAUUUGAAAUGGGUCCUGAAUGACCAUUGAUUGUGUGAGCAUCUGAUACAUUUGGAGCUAAUCCUGAUUUGAGAGCUUCAUUGAUCACGGCUUCGGUGUCGGAUUUCCACCACUCAGCUAUAAGCAGGAUCAUGUUUUAGAACCAAAUCAGUCAGUUUCAAGUGAAGAUAAAAAAGGACGCCAAAGAUCGAUGUUGUUUUACUUUCAAACUUACUUACCUAAUACAACGACGACUUCUUUGUUCGGAGCUGGGAAUGGAUAUGGAACGCCGAGCUUGGGCAAGAUGACCAAAGCACCAUGGACAGUCGCCCUCAGCCAAAGAAUAUGUGCGUGCCAAAGAAGGGUGCCUCUUUGGCCUGUAACGGUGAAGUUAUACAAAUAGCUUUGCCCUGAUGGGAUGGGACAUUGUGUAAUGUAUGCUGGUCCAUCCGCCCAACCGGUUCGAAGCUGCCGAACUCCAUGCCUGAACAGAAAAAGAAAGUAAGCAAGCAAGCAUCAUCCUUCACUUACUCUACAUAUUAUUACAAGUCAUUUAUUCUUAUGUUUCAUCACAUAAGAGAAAAGAAAUAGAAUUUUUGAAGGAAGACUCACCAGUGAAUGGAAAGGUUGUAUUGAACGUGGUUAACAACAUUAAUAAGCACUGUGUCAUCUUCCCUAGCAUAGAUGGUGGGACCUGGAAACUUCCCAUUAACGGUGACGAUUUGCUUACUGGAACAGAGUUUGGUAGUAUUUUUUAAAACCACCUGCCAUUAACAUAACAGAAUAAGAAUUUGAAUCCCCAAGUACGUCGGGCUUGUCCUUAUUUCAGAAAGUACACAGUAAAGAUUGACGGGUCAGUUGAAAUGAUGAAUAAAAAAAACCAUAUGAUAUGUCGUCAGCAUAGAUUAUAUAAAUAAAUUUGGCCUAAACAUUAUAAAGUUGGUCAUGAAGAUCUUUGAAAGUUCUGUAACUUUCUGAAAGACAAACGAAACCUUUUGAAUAUUUAAAAUGAAAGAAAAGCUUAUACUCUGUCUUCCCAUAUCAUUUUUUAAUUGAAAAAGUGAACAAGAACAUGAACAAAGCUAGCAAUUGUGUGUCAAAAGGGUCCUGCCUUUUGCUUGUGAAUUAUAUAAAAGAACCAACACUUACAUCGAAUUUGUAAUGCCGAACUCGGCAUUCGACCAAAGCUGGGAAAAUGCAGGCCAACAGAACCAAAACUCGAAAUAUUAAACUCAUAUUUCUCUCUUUUCUCUCCCUCUAUUGGUUAUUGGCCUUGUUUAGAUGUGGGGAAUGAAUAACAGAGAAUCCUCCCUUAUAUAAAGCUUAGCUGAAAUGUCAUUUUUGCAUGGUAGGUGAAUGAUAGAGCUAUAGUUUCUCUUAGGUCUCAAGAUUUCUUGAACAAUUUUCUCUUGUUUGUAUUUCAAUGAUACCUUACAUCUCACAUAAAGUUGCUUUUUUUUUCCUCUGAUGGACUAACGGGUGUAGUUCUGGAAGCCAAGAAACUCCCACAGGAAACCAACUCAUUCCUGAACACUAAUGUAUUAGGUGUUGGUUGCUUGUAUACUAUGAAACAAUUUAUUCAUAUUUUAUCUACAUAAUUCACAUUUUAGAAUGACUCUUGUUCUAGCCAUCGAGAUAGGCGUAUGUUUCCUGUCGUUCUUCACAUGACGGAAACGUUAUGCUCAAGAAUGGUUUUAACUCAGGUAAUUCAGAUUUGUGAAUGUAUACAAUUACUGUAAUAUAUGUUUGAUAUAAGCAAAUUGAAAAAUGUCAGGGUGAAGGAGGUGAAUACUGAAUAAUAUGGUUAGAGAGAGGUUAGCUUUAGAGAUUAGAAAUUAAAAAAAAAAAGUUAGAUUAAUAAUAUUUGGUUGUCAUUUUCAGAGUUCUGGUAAAGAGGAAAAGGAAGAGAAAGUGCAGAGAUGAGAUGAAGGUAUGUUGCAUUCUCAAGUAAGAUAGAAAAUUGAUAUUUUGCAAAAAAGUUAAUUGAAUUUAUCCAUUCAAAUAUAUUUAUAUUAUUUUGUUGUUGAGAAAUGGCUUUCAAGUCAGCUUCAAAUUAGUAACCCAACUAAUGGUUUCCAUCUUGAAUGCUUAAAACUAAACCAUUGGUGGGUAUGUGUGUAUCUUCUCUCUCUAGUAAGUGAAAAAAUAAAAUUAGUAAUUUGAAUUUUGGGUUUUGGAA